UACCAGACUCCUACGGGAGGCAGCAGUGGGGAAUAUUGCACAAUGGGCGCAAGCCUGAUGCAGCAACGCCGCGUGAGCGAAGACGGUCUUCGGAUCGUAAAGCUCUGUCCUUGAGGAAGAAGGAAGUGACGGUACUCAAGGAGGAAGCCCCGGCUAACUACGUGCCAGCAGCCGCGGUAAUACGUAGGGGGCAAGCGUUAUCCGGAUUUACUGGGUGUAAAGGGAGCGUAGACGGUUAUGUAAGUCUGGAGUGAAAGCCCGGGGCCCAACCCCGGGACUGCUUUGGAAACUGUGUAACUAGAGUACAGGAGGGGCAGGCGGAAUUCCUGGUGUAGCGGUGAAAUGCGUAGAUAUCAGGAGGAACACCGGCGGCGAAGGCGGCCUGCUGGACUGAAACUGACGUUGAGGCUCGAAAGCGUGGGGAGCAAACAGGAUUAGAUACCCUGGUA
rnacentral:rRNA from 1 species